rnacentral:rRNA from 1 species
AUGCCAUCCCACGCCGACCGUGUGCGCCUCCGCGCAGUCUGCCGCCUGUGGCGCGCCGCCGCGCACCUACAACCUCCGCUGCCACCGCUGCUCCCUUGGAUCCUACAACCCGACGGCACCUUGCUCAGCCUCCCCGACGGCGCCGUCCACCGCAUCCCCGUCCCCGACGACGUCUGCCGCCGCAUGUCCACCGGCGGCAUGCUCUUCCUCGUGCAUAGCAACUACACGUGCUCCCUGCUGAACCCCUUCUCCCGGGAGACGACCGGCGCUCAACACAUCCACCCCGCGUGCCUCAGUCCUCAACCCAUCCGGAUUCCCUGGGACUACAACGUCCGCAAGGUGGUUAUGAUGCCUGAUCACAUUAUCACCGUCAAAAGAGCAUACUAUCCCGAGACCCAAUGCAACAACAUGGUCUGUAUCCGCAGGCGCCGCUCCACGGCGACCGUGGACAUCCGGUGGGUGCCCUCCAUGCCCAGCGUUUCACGUGCCAUGGCGGACGUCGCGCUCUUCCAAGACAAGCUCUACGCCCUCGUCGGAACACCUGCGGGCACCAUCCAUCUUUACGUCCUGGACAUCAUCGACGACAAGCAUGUCGCCCUACAACGCGUCCUCCGCACGCCAGUGGACGACGACGACCAAGGCUACACCGGCAUCGUGCACCGCUACCUGGUCGCAUCGGGCGAUCGGCUGUUGAUGGUGAAGGAAAGGAGAGACCGCAGUCCUAAGCUCCCAAGCUUGUUCAAGCAGCCUAUUUUCGAUGUAUCCGAGGCUGCGGACCUGUGCAGCGGCGGUGGACGCUGGAGAAAAGUCGAUACAUUGACGGGACGUGCUCUCUUCCUCAGCCAAGGCUGCUCCGAGUCGCUUCCAGCCGGUGGCCCAUACGUCGGAGCUCGAGAAGACUGCGUCUACUUUCUGUGCGAGCGUCACCAGUGUGAUCAUAGUUGGAGCCUGUGCUCGGGCAUGUACAAUGUGCGCCAGGGGACCGUCUCGCCCUUGCCGUUCAAGGCGAUGGUGGCAGAGGAGGGUCCAGGGACCACGUCUUGGCUUUUUCCUCCUACUGAUAUUUGA